UCUCUCUCUCAUCUGUGUUUCGAUUUCUGUUUACUUGGACCAACAGCUGCUUUGGAUCAUGAGAACUGAUGCGAUAAGAAAGGGUAGUUCUUUUUCAUCAAAUAUCAAGAUUUGGUGAGAAAGGGGUGGGGACAAUCAAAAGAUUUCAUUUUUAUAUUUCUCUCCAUUUCUCACCAAAUCAUUCAGUCCAAAUGAGUGAUUCGGGGAGACUCUCUAAUCUUUUCUUUUCUUACAAAAUCGCUAAAUCGAAAGGGGCUAAUAUACACAAAUAUUCGUGGCCUAUGAUAUGUUACUUGGAUUUUCUUUUUGUAUACUGUUGGAUUUCACUACCACUGCUGUAAAGCGGGUAAUUGAUAGGCUCGGUUUGUUUCAACGUAACGGAAAAUAAUUUUGCCAAAUAUAAACUUUUUCGUUUUUGUUUUCUGGUUUUUGGUUGAUAAUGAAAAAUAUUUUUUCAGCACAUAAAUAUGUGUAUGAAAAUAUACAUGUUUGUGAGAGAGAGAGUCACGGGCCAAAGAAAUUAGGAGAAUCUAACUGGGAAAUUGACUUCAAGAGAGAGAGAGAGAGAGAGAGAGAGAGAGAGAGAGGAAUUUAGUGGAGGGGAGAGAGACGAGAGAUGACUAUGUGAGGGAUUGCCUGAUUGGUUAUAUUUCAAGAGGUAUCGGGAGAACAGAGAAUUGAUCGGGAAAAUGACUUACCCAGUUUUUCUCGAAAAGUUAUUUUACCUCAGUUUGUUGGGAAAGGUUUUCCUAACUAAAACAUUUUCCCGGGUUUAGGACAACCAAACACCCAAAAAAUGGGUAAACAUUCUACAGGAAAAUAUUUUAUGGCCAAACAAACGGAGCCAUAAUGUAAAACGAGUAGUUUAGCAGCUUGAUAAAAUUUGGUGAAGAUCAUGACCGACCCUUGAACUCAAUCUGAAUUACUAUAAGCUACAGUUGCCCAUUUUUGAAAUGCUAACACUUGGUGUAUGUCACAUCAGAAGACUAAAACAACUUGCUUUUGGGGUACAAGCAGAGAAAAAUUGCACCCAAUGAAUUUACAGAUUACAAUCCUUCCACCAUGCGAAAACAGAACACUUGCACACAGUAAGCAAAAACGAAUUUUUAGACUCGGAAAGGGCUUAAUACUUGUGAAACUCCCAUUCUAAGUUUGUCUGGGGAAUUACCAUGUCUUAGGAAUUACUACUGGUUGAAGAAGAACAAGAUGCUUUUAGAGGACUGUGACAGCAGAGAGAGCUUAGCAGGGAGGGAGAGAGAUAGAGAGACACAAGGGAUCACGGAGAUAGAGAGAUUAACUGGGCUAUAACCGUACGAGGAUAGUAGAUCAGGAUCGCCGCUGGCUGGUUAUGUUUGGGGUUGAUUUGAAGCUCUAUAUAUCCUAGUAGUAUUUAGUAUCAAGAUUUGGGUCACGUGGUUGUGUCAUUCUGUUAACUGUUUUUGUGGAAAAUGGGGCGGGCCUUAGUAAGCAGUUAUGAAGGUACCCUGGACCGUUCCCUGGACUUGUUCUAAGUUUCUCCGGGUGUAUUGGCCAGUUCAAAAUCCGGUUUUUUUUUUUUUGGAUCAACAAAUUCGGUUUUCGUUGGUUAGAAGAUGAAUCUUUUGUGGCCUAACACAGAAAUACAGAAUGACAAUAUAUGCGUGAGUCUCAAAAUAGAAUUUUAGAGCAUACAUGUCAUGGCUACCGAAAGAUUAAUCAAUUUUAUUAUAGAGGAGUUUUGAGUCAAUAUAGACUUCAAUUCAAUUUUACCGAAUAGGUGAUCUCCUGUGAAGCAUGUUUUUAUUCAUCUCCAAAUGUGAAUUGUGUGCUUAUAAAAUGCUCGUAAGUCCCAGCUAAACCAUUUAAGCAACCAAGUGAAGCAGUCAUACGAUAUGCUUUUCUGCAGCAUGUCAUCCUUGCGUAGUUUCAUAUUUAUCCAGUCAGAUGCCUUCAGUUAAUGAAUAACUGAUGCAGCGGAAGCUAAUUGAAACACAAAACUACUAAAUUGAGUCCGAAUCCGUUGAUUCGUAACGAAUACCCGGAAAUCGAAAUCCUUCUCUAAACCUGUUUAGUCAAAGAAUACCCAGGAAUAAAGGCAUCAAACACUUUGUUGAUUCCGUAGAAUACCAAAGAAUUUGGCAUAAAAGAGAACACUCUUUAUAAUUUUAUUAAUCAUCAAAAAACUGAAUAGCCCUAAGGCUUACAACUUAAUUUAUAGUAGGAGAAACCCUACACACUAGGAAAUAAAGAAAAAGGAAACUACCAAAGUUAGAAUUGAGUCUUCGUAAUCAAAUAAUUCUUAAAAGGAAACUAAAUAAACUAAAUUGAAAAACUAAAUAAUGUAAACACUUAUUUCUAUAAUUGCAAGAUUCCUAACAAAAUAAAUAAAAAUAAAAAUAAGAAACUUUAUAUUCUUUUUUUUAAAUAAUAUAUAAUAUUUUCAUUUUACAUCAUUCUCCCGGGCUUGAGAAAACUCGUCCUCGAGUUUCAAUUGCUUCAAAUAAUCUUGCUCGUCGAAACUUGUCUGCAUCAAUUUUAUACUUUAUGUUGAUCUUCUCGAACUUGAAUUUUAACAAGAAGUCUUCAAACGCAAAAGGUGGAAUAUCAGUGAAUCCCAUAAAAUCGCCGCGAACUAUGUCUUCACUUUGUUCCUUGCAGAAUCCAAAUAUUUGAACACCUAACCAUGUGUAUGUUGGGUUACUUCUAGAUGCAAUUUUAAUUCCAAUUGCAACGGCGCUGAAAUUGUAGUAUUCAACACAAAAUGCAGAUGAUCAUCUUUACGCAAAACAAUCUCAAACUCCACAUCAUUGAAUGGUUCCUCAUCAAAAAUAGGCAGUUUACUCCAAUCCACAACUGGAUCUGGAAUAACUUUGGAUGUGAAAGGCCACCGAACUGUAGCCUCCUCCAUGAAGCACGAACUCAAUGGGUUGUAGUGAGGUUGAUUAUCAAUGAUCAAGGCAGCCCUCUUGACCAACGCUUCAUGCGUAUUCUCAAUCCGUUGAAACCAUACCCUUAGUUGUUGUUGCACCAUGAUCCGGAAUCGAGCGCUAGCUUUGAUACCAACUGAUGCAGCGGAAGCUAAUGAAAAACGGAACUACUAAAUUGAGUCCGAAUCCGUUGAUUCGUAACGAAUACCCGGAAAUCGAAAUCCUUCUCUAAACCUGUUUAGUCAAAGAAUACCCAGGAAUAAAGGCAUCAAACACUUUGUUGAUUCCGUAGAAUACCAAAGAAUUUGGCAUAAAAGAGAACACUCUUUAUAAUUUUAUUAAUCAUCAAAAAACUGAAUAGCCCUAAGGCUUACAACUUAAUUUAUAGUAGGAGAAACCCUACACACUAGGAAAUAAAGAAAAA